UCAAGGAUUACGAAUGUGAGGCUAUAGUUUAGAAUAUUUUCUCACGAAUGUAUCCGGAAAUUUUAAUUUCAUCCGCCUCCGCCAAACAUCCUUCGUGGGAAAAAAGAUACUCUGGACGCGGCCAUUUGCUCGAAAUUCUGCUCGGUGAGGGAAAAGAAUCUGGAAGUUCAACAGCCGACUGAAAUUCAUCGCAAUAAGCACACAAACAAACUGGAAAUGAAAGUUCCCGAUUCAUUGAAUGUUUCCUUCGGCACUUUAAUAACGCAAGUGUUUUUGGCCUAGUGCUGACUGUAAACUAGACAGAAGAUGGCUUUUUUCUCUUUUUUAUUUCAUUUUCAGUUUGAAUGUAUUCUCGAUCAACUAGUUAUUUUCUCUAUUCUCCUUUUUUGCGUCCCCUGGUUUGGGCACAACUUUCUUCAACUUUGUAUGCAUGUUGUUUCGUUUUUAAUGCAAUAAAUUUAGUUCGAACUAAAGUCCAACCAGGAAAUCUU